rnacentral:tRNA from 1 species
GGGGAUGUGGCUCAGUGGUAGAGUACUUGUCUAACAUGUAUGAGGACCUUGGUUCAACCUUGUGUCAUUA